UGGAUACACACCAUAUAUUUAAACUGAAGUAUACAUAGAGGGAGGACGUUCAAGCCCCACCCACUCUCAGGUAAAGGUACCACAGGUUGUCCUAUACCCAGUCUCACAUCACAUGUCUUACACCUGGAGAGACAGCCUCAGAGAGACAUCCUCUUACACCUGGAGAGACAGCCCUAUAGAGACAUCCUCUUACACCUGGAGAGACAGCAUCAGAGUGACAUAAUCCUAUACCUGGAGAUACAGCAUCAGAGAGGCAUCCUCUUACACCUGGAGAGACAAUCUCAUAAAACACACUCUUAUACCUGGAGAGACAGCCUCUUAUAGACGUUCUGUAUCCCACGUAGACAGACAGCCUCGUGCCCUGUGUCACAGGUAAAGAGACAUUGUUUAAGUGCAUAGGAAAGAAAGAAACAGCGAUGAUAACAGAAUUCCAAAUACAGUUUCUCUAAUUCAGAAACAUUGACACCAAGAGACUGUCUGAGAGAGAGAGAGGGAAAAAGAGACCGUGUGGGCAAAGAUAGUCUAGCGUUUGACAGUACAUGUACAGACUGUACAAGAGAAAUUUUGGAAAAGAGACCUUCACAGCUGGAGACUACCAGAGAGAGAAAAAAAACUCACUAAAAUUUUGGAACACUAUGAAAGGACCUAUGUGACUGUCUCAUCAAGAGUGUGAGGUUCACACCAGAAUUCCAGAGACAAACAAAAAAACACUUUACCAAAGACCCCAAAUGAAAUGAGACACCUAUAGACUUUGAGUGAAAAGAGCCAGUCCUGAAGUAAGAGACUACCACCACCACUAGCUGUAAGUGAAACUCCUGUAUUGUUGACUUGGUUGAGAUUAUGGAUUGUGUGUGAUAUUGGGGAGUGUGGGGAAAGAUUGUUAGAAAAGUGGACUGUAUCUGGUACUGGGGAGUUUGGGGAAUGUUGGUGGAAAAGGUACGUUUUGUCUGGCAUUGGGGAGUUUUUGAAAUGUUAAUAGGUUGAGUUUGAUAUAGUGGAAUUUAGGGAAAGGUGGUUAAGAUGAGUUGUGUAGUGGAGCUCCAGUACCACGCAUAGGUAUUUCCGCUAUUCCUUCCUUGAAGCUAAAAGGAGCACUGUAGUAAUCCAAGACCUUUUCCCCCAGCAACUAGACGACACAUAGUUCUGGGAGUUAACUGAGUUUAUUUUGGCCACACAUGGCUUUUAUGCACUGACCAGUCUCCAUAUCAACAUUACAAGGGUUUUUCUUUCAGGAUCCUCUUCGGGUAGUUGGAUGGGCAGCGGUAGUAGUUUCCUGGGUGUUCGCUGGGUCGCGUGUCCGAGAAUAGUUCCAGGCUGUCAACGACCAUGUACCGCUGCCUGCGUUCGGGAGACAAAAUGGCCACCAAUUCUUGGAGCAUGUGUGUUCGGUUAUAUGAACGGCGGUCACAGGGGAAACACUUGUACUAAUGAGCAAUUUGUGGUUAACAUCCUGGGAUGGUCGGUAAUUGUGAGGUGUUAACAGGGGACAACACAUUGGACGAACAGGGGUGUACAGACAGCCGAACAAAAGUAAAUAAAAGUGCAGUUAGGGCAUUCAUGCUGCAACAAUUAUAUCCAAUAUUGGGGAGUUUGUAGGAUGUUGGUGGGGAUAUGGGUUGAGUCUUACAUUGGGGAGCUUCAGGAUUGUUGGUGGAGGUGGUCGUGUCUGAUGUUAGAGACUUUGUGGAAUGUUAGUGGUGGAGGUUGGUUGUGUCUGAUGUUAGGGACUUUGUGGAAUGUUAGUGGUGGAGGUUGGUCGUGUCUGAUGUUAGGGACUUUGUGGAAUGUUAGUGGUGGAGGUUGGUCGUGUCUGAUGUUAGGGACUUUGUUGAAUGUUAGUGGUGGAGGUUGGUCGUGUCUGAUGUUAGGGACUUUGUGAAAUGUUAGUGGUGGAGGUUGCUUGUGUCUGAUGUUAGGGACUUUGUGGAAUGUUAGUGGUGGAGGUUGGUUGUGUCUGAUGUUAGGGACUUUGUGGAAUGUUAGUGGUGGAGGUUGGUUGUGUAUGAUGUUAGGGACUUUGUGGAAUGUUAGUGGUGGAGGUUGGUUGUGUCUGAUGUUAGGGACUUUGUGGAAUGUUGGUGGCAGAGGUGGGUUGUGUCUAAUAUUAUGAACUUUAUGCUAUGUUGGUGUGGAGGUUGAGACAUCGUGUUAGGGUUAAAAAAUAUAUACAUAAUUGGGGACAACAUGUUUUAUAUCCAACUAAGGAUAGGAGAGAUUGCAAGAUGAACUGUUCUGUAAUAUUAUGAAACAAGACAAUGUCAUAUUCCGAAAAACAGCCAGUAAACAUGGAAUAGCAGCUAAUGGGAUAUUAGUAUUACAAGUUCAGAUAGUGGAGUGACUCUGUAUAUAGUCAGGUAUUAGGCACUGUGCGUGUAUAUAAUGUGUAUAUGGUCAGGUACUGGGCUGUGUGUAUUUAAUGUGUAUACGGUCAAGUACUGGGCUGUGUGUAUGUAAUGUGUAUAUGGUCAGGUACUGGGCUGUGUGUAUGUAAUGUGUAUACGGUCAGGUACUGGGCUGUGUGUAUGUAAUGUGUAUACGGUCAGGUACUGGGCUGUGUGUAUGUAAUGUGUAUACGGUCAGGUACUGGGCUGUGUGUAUGUAAUGUGUAUAUGGUCAGGUACUGGGCUGUGUGUAUAUAAUGUGUAUACGGUCAGGUACUGGGCUGUGUGUGUAUAUAAUGUGUAUAUGGUCAGGUACUGGGCUGUGUGUAUAUAUAAUGUGUAUAUGGUCAGGUACUGGGCUGUGUGUAUAUAUAAUGUGUAUAUGGGCAGGUAUUGGGCUGUGUGUGUGUAUAUAAUGUGUAUAUGGGCAGGUAUUGGGCUGUGUGUAUAUAAUGUGUAUAUGGACAGGUAUUGGGCUGUGUGUGUGUGUAUAUGGUCAGGGCUGUGUGUGUUUAUAUGCUGUGUAUAUGGUCAGGUACUGGGCUGUGUGUGUAUAUAUGGUCAGUGCUGUGUGUGUUUAUGCUGUGUAUAUGGUCAGGUAUUGGGCUGUGUGUGUAUAUGCUGUGUAUAUGGUCAGGGCUGUGUGUGUUUAUGCUGUGUAUAUGGUCAGGUAUUGGGCUGUGUGCGUGUAUAUGCUGUGUAUAUGGUCAGGGCUGUGUGUGUGUACAUGCUGUGUAUAUGGUCAGUGCUGUGUGUAUUUAUGCUGUGAAUAUGGUCAGGUAUUGGGCUGUGUGCAUGUAUAUGCUGUGUAUAUGGUCAUGGCUGUGUGUACAUGCUGUGUAUAUGGUCAGGGCUGUGUGUGUGUGUACAUGCUGUGUAUAUGGUCAGGGCUGUGUGUGUGUACAUGCUGUGUAUAUGGUCAGGGCUGUGUGUGUACAUGCUGUGUGUGUAUAUGCUGUGUAUAUGGUCAGUGCUGUGUGUGUGUGUAUAUGCUGUGUAUAUGGUCAGUGCUGUGUGUGUGUGUGUGUGUAUAUGUAUAUGCUGUGUAUAUGGUCAGCGCUGUGUGUGUGUUUAUAUGCUGUGUAUAUGGUCAGUGCUGUGUGUGUUUAUGCUGUGUAUAUGGUCAGGUAUUGGGCUGUGUGUGUGUGUAUAUGCUGUGUAUAUGGUCAGGGCUGUGUGUGUGUAUAUGUAUAUGCUGUGUAUAUGGUCAGGGCUGUGUGUGUGUUUAUGCUGUGUAUAUGGUCAGCGCUGUGUGUGUUUAUGCUGUGUAUAUGGUCAGGUAUUGGGCUGUGUGUGUAUAUAUGCUGUGUAUAUGGUCAGGGCUGUGUGUGUGUAUAUGUAUAUGCUGUGUAUAUGGUCAGCGCUGUGUGUGUGUGUUAUAUGCUGUGUAUAUGGUCAGGGCUGUGUGUGUUUAUGCUGUGUAUAUGGUCAGGGCUGUGUGUGUUUAUGCGUGUGUAUAUGGUCAGGUAUUGGGCUGUGUGCGUGUAUAUUUUGUGUAUAUGGUCAGGGCUGUGUGUGUGUUUAUGCUGUGCAUAUGGUCAGGGCUGUGUGUGUGUAUAUGCUGUGUAUAUGGUCAGGGCUGUGUGUGCGUGUAUAUGCUGUGUAUAUGGUCAGGGCUGUGUGUGUAUAUGCUGUGUAUAUGGUCAGGGAUGUGUGUGUGUAUAUGGUCAGGGCUGUGUGUGUUUAUAUGUUGUGUAUAUGGUCAGGGCUGUGUGUGUUUAUAUGCUGUGUAUAUGGUCAGGGCUGUGUGUGUGUAUAUGCUGUGUAUAUGGUCAGGGAUGUGUGUGUGUAUAUGCUGUGUAUAUGGUCAGGGCUGUGUGUGUGUGUAUGCUGUGUAUAUGGUCAGGGCUGUGUGUGUUUAUAUGCUGUGUAUAUGGUCAGGGCUGUGUGUGUGUAUAUGCUGUGUAUAUGGUCAGGGCUGUGUGUGUGUAUAUGCUGUGUAUAUGGUGAGGGCUGUGUGUGUGUAUAUGCUGUGUAUAUGGUCAGGGCUGUGUGUGUGUAUAUGCUGUGUAUAUAGUCAGGGCUGUGUGUGUGUAUAUACUGUAUAUAUGGUCAGGGAUGUGUGUGUGUGUAUAUGGUCAAGAGCUGUGUGUGUAUAUACUGUGUGUAUAUGGUCAGGGCUGUGUGUACUGUGUAUAUGCUGUGUAUAGUCCCAGGCUGUGUGUGUGUAUAUGGUCAGGGCUGUGUGUGUAUAUGUGUGUAUAUGGUCAGGGCUGUGUGUGUGUAUAUGCUGUGUAUAUGGUCAGGGAUGUGUGUGUGUAUAUGGUCAGGGCUGUGUGUGUUUAUAUGUUGUGUAUAUGGUCAGGGCUGUGUGUGUUUAUAUGCUGUGUAUAUGGUCAGGGCUGUGUGUGUGUAUAUGCUGUGUAUAUGGUCAGGGAUGUGUGUGUGUAUAUGGUCAGGGCUGUGUGUGUGUGUAUGCUGUGUAUAUGGUCAGGGCUGUGUGUGUUUAUAUGCUGUGUAUAUGGUCAGGGCUGUGUGUGUGUAUAUGCUGUGUAUAUGGUCAGGGCUGUGUGUGUGUAUAUGCUGUGUAUAUGGUCAGGGAUGUGUGUGUGUAUAUGGUCAGGGAUGUGUGUGUGUAUAUGGUCAGGGCUGUGUGUGUGUAUAUGCUGUGUAUAUGAUCAGGGCUGUGUGUGUGUAUAUGCUGUGUAUAUGGUCAGGGAUGUGUGUGUAUAUGGUCAGGGCUGUGUGUGUAUAUGCUGUGUAUAUGGUCAGGGCUGUGUGUGUGUGUAUAUGCUGUGUAUAUGGUCAGGGCUGUGUGUAUAUGCUGUGUAUAUGGUCAGGGCUGUGUGUGUGUGUGUGUAUAUGCUGUGUAUAUGGUCAGGGCUGUGUGUGUGUUUAUGCUGUGUAUAUGGUCAGGGCUGUGUGUGUGUAUAUGCUGUGUAUAUGGUCAGGGCUGUGUGCGUGUAUAUGCUGUGUAUAUGGUCAGUGCUGUGUGUGUGUGUGUAUAUGCUGUGUAUAUGGUCAGGGCUGUGUGCGUGUAUAUGCUGUGUAUAUGGUCAGGGCUGUGUGCGUGUAUAUGCUGUGUAUAUGGUCAGGGCUGUGUGCGUGUAUAUGCUGUGUAUAUGCUCCGUUACUGUCUUAUACCCUCUGAUAUUGAGGAAGACAGUACACUUCAUUAUUACAUGACAUCACCUUUCCCCUAUCACACCCCACACUAUGAGUUAUUAGGUGUUAGAUACUCUAAAUGUGGAUAUGAUUUAAUUAUGGAAAGGAAUUCAUGGUGAGAAAAUCCAGAUACUAAUUAAAGAUUUCGUAAUGAUUGACUCGUUUAACCUGAUUGGUCGUAAUCCACAGGCAUCUUACUGUGUUAGUAAUUCAUGUUAGAAGCUGUAGCUCGAUGUUUAUUUGUGUUGUAUAUGUGUUGUCUGAUACAGCGGGGUUGUAGAUUGAUACUGUAGCUGAGCUCCCUGGAGAUAAUUGCAUUAAAGACUGGUAAGAUAAUUAUCUCGCAGGAACAAACAUAAAACAUUUAAAAAAAAAAAAACACACCAUAAUAAAACAUACAAUAACCCCACAUAUUAUACACCCCCAAAUAGCCCUGAUCUGAGUGCCCAGGUUCUCAAAAUAGCGCUCAGAUCCAUGCAAUGUAGGGGAAGCCCCACUGUCUUAAAGUUCUGACCGGCCGCACACAUCGUCCUAUGCCCAAAAUAGUUUCAAGAGCGUUCAGUGCUUUUGCUGGUCAAAUUUUGGGAGCUCCUGCGGCCGCAAUACGGGGUGCUCUGCCUGGCUCUCCGGUAGCGUGUCUUCCCCUUAGUCUUAAACACCUUCCCUCCAAAAAGCGCUCUCAUAGCAGGUUGCAAAGUAGUUCAAAACACCGGACUAAUUUCACCUCAUGCCGAAAACAGUUCCAUAACAUUCACAGCUAAGUACCGCUGGGACUAUUCGUGGGUUUGGUUUAUGCGAAUGGCCUCCAGAGAGCUAGCGUUCGGUUCUAUUGACCUUGUAUGACCUACAAGCCAAUCUAUCAGAGUGCACCCUUAUAAAAGUGUUUCCCCACUGUGCACACCCAGUCUGUGCAGAGCCCUCGAUGGGUAACUUGGAUUUGAUUUUAAUGCAUUGUGGAUUCUUUUCUAUCCUUUCUUUUUGAGUUGUGAUGCUGUUUAUUAUAAUGAAUAGGAUCACGGGUGAUACCUGGGGGUAUGGGUGACUAGGCAGCAAACCCAGUUGUUGGUAGUUUAUUACAAUGAGCAGCCACUCACAGCAUGUGUGUGUAUAUAAUGUGUAUUAUGUUGCUAAUGUUGAUGUCAUAUUGACCCCAGAGGCUUUUUUCAAUUAUUUUCCUGCAGGAUGCUCGUGGCAGCAGCAGACAAAAACCCAUUUAUUGACAUCUUUUUGAUGUCUGAUAUUUUCAAGUAUGAUAUUGAUUUUUAAUUUAAAAAUAAACAUAUAUUAUUGUAAGCAAUUUUAAUCAGGUCCCAAUUUGAUGGUGGGAAUGUAGCCGAUUUGAACCAAUAAAAGGUUUAUUGGAAGCUGGUAAACUGUAAUAAACGUUAUCGGUGGUAGUGUAAUCAAUGUUAUAGUGGUACAGACUAUGAACAGAGGCAUUUUAUAAGCGUUGAACAACGCUUGUUCAGAGAUGUUUCCACCCAAAGGCUGGUUUGGAUGUCGAGCUAUAGAAAGUCAGGGUGUAGCGAUUCAUUGUCUAUUGAAAGUCAGUCUUUGGAUCGGUUCAUUGUCUAUAGGUAUUCAGGAAUGUCUGGGUUCUUGUCUAGCUUGUAGACUGAUGGUUUGGAUCACUGACUCCAACUCCUUCCUAAUUUCUCUUCUAAAGAUCGGGCCAUCUGCAGCAGGGAUGGUGUGCCAUCAGAUUGUCAUGUCCAAGACAGCUCCAGUGUUGCUUUGUUCCAGGGAGGGUAGGUGGGGCACCACGCUAAACAAACUGUUUUAUAGCAAAGUCUAAGAAUAGCCAUUUGUUUUACUAGCUGUUGUAAACAUAGCAAGCAGCUGAGAAGGACACAGCACACAGUGUUUUUAAAAUGAUGUAUUCGAGUAUGUCUAUUAAAUAAACUAACGUUUCAAACAUAAUAAAGUGAUAUUUAAUACAAGCAAGUAUCAUAUAGGUGGUAAAACCAACGUCACACCCAUAGACUGAAUGUAACGAUCACAACAAAGAAACAUUGUAAAACUAUAAAACAUGUUCAGUCAGAAAACAACUAAAGGAUAAUUAAUAGCCUCACACUUCCUUACAAUUUAUUAUACAUGUACUGUAGUGGAUACCUGGCUAAAAAGACCGGUUAUCUCAGCUUAUUCUCUUCCUUCAGCCGUUCAGGAACCCUUACAACAAGCAGGCAUCCAUUUUUCCCCCAGUGACUGGACGACACACAGUUUGGAGGAAUAUAACACAACUGACCUUAUUUUGUCACACAAGGUUUUACAUGAACAGACCCCUACCUGGGGUCUCCAACAACAGGGGUUCCCAUCCCAAGAAGCUGAUGGUGGAUGGAAGAGGGACAACGUCCUGCUAGGACAGGAAAAAGAAGGGGGUGGAGAGCUACAGACAAGCAAUGGUUAACAGCCAGGGGUGUUUGGUUGUUAAAAGAAGCGACCACAUGGAUGAGGGCGCGGUAGACGAAUGGGAAUGGGUGGGGGGGUACGAACAGCUGAAAAAAGGGAGUAAAAAGUAUAUAUAGUAGUGUCCAUUCCACUACACUGCUUUCCCUUAACCACAAGCCAGCAUACACAGUCUGAUCCUUAACGGAGUACUCACGGAUCACUUUUCCAGUUCAGUUUGUCGAGAUAACACGUCAGCAUUGCCAUUCUGUUUCCCAGGGCGGUAGUGGAUAUUAAAGUCAUACGGUUGUAAUGCCAAACUCCAGCGCAACAACCGGGCAUUGUUCUGCACCACUCAGUUUAUGAUCCGUGAGUAGGGUGAACUGCUGUCCGUACAAGUAGGGUUGAAGCUUCUUUAGGGCCCACACCACACCCAGGCAUUCCUUCUCGAUGGCGGUGUAGCUCACUUCCCUGGGUAGAAGUUUCCUGCUCAGGUAAGCUACAGGGUGUUCUCCGCAAACUUCUCCAACCUGGCUCAAUACCGCUCCCAAUCCAAACAUUGAGGCACCUGUGUGAACAAGAAAUUGUUUAGAUGGAUUGGGAGCGGCUAAUACAGGACUAUUAACAAGGGCUUGUUUUAGCUGUUGGAAUGCCUGUUUGUACUCUGGGGCCCAUACUACAAAUUUCCGGUAGUAGCCAGCCGUCCCUAGGAAUGCUAAAACCUGGGUUUUGGUACGGGGGGGUUGGCAACUGGGCUACAGCCUCCACUUUGGCUGGCUCGGGUUUCUGUUUCCCACACCCCACCCGGUGUCCCAAGAACUGAACUUCAGCCACCCCAAUGUGGAAUUUGCUCGGCUUGAGGGUCAAGCCGGCCUCUCUAAUCUGGUCUAUCUCCUAUGUGCCUCAGAUGCUCCUCCCAAGUCUCCUUAAAAAUCGUGAUGUCGUCCGAUUAUGCACAUGCAUAAUCUUGGAAGCCAUCGAGUAGCCGGUCCACCAUACACUGGAACGUGGCUGGGGCAUUUUCCAUCCCAAAUGGCAUGACCUUAAACUGGUACAGGCCAAAUGGGGUGACAAAGGUCGAUUUGGGAAUGAGCUCAUCCAAGAGCUCAUCUAUCCGGGGCAUGGGGUAAGCGUCUGAUACUGUUUUGUCAUUGAGUCUCCGGUAAUCGACAAUGAAGCGGGUCGUUCCAUCCCACUUCGGUACCAAGACUACUGGAGAAGCCCAAGGACUAUCAGACGCUUCAAUGACCCUGAGACGGACCUUUUUUUUGGAUCUCCUUUCUCAUGUGUUCCCUGACAGCCACAGGGAUUCUAUAGGGAGUCUGUCGGAGGGCGGUUGUGUACUCGAUGGACGACUAGCGCAGUGUAUCCAGGUAUGUUCAAAAACUUUGCUACCUUCGUGGCUAGCAGUUGCCGUACCUGGAUAUACUCUUGAGUGCUGUCUUAUCUUCCCCCAGGAGGUCCGGUAGGGGAAGAUUCCCAAAGUCAUCUGAGGCGGGCGCACAUAUUGCAGCCACAUCCUCCGUCCUCUCAUAGUAGGGUUUGAGCAGGUUCACGUGGAGCAUGCGUCUCCCCCCACUACCAGAGCAAGGACUUAUUAUGUACAUGGUGUCACAUCUCUGUUCCACUACUUGGUAUGGGCCCUGCCAUACUAAGCCGGCCUGUAGCUUGUUGUGGUGAACAGGUUUUAAAAUCAAAACCUUUUGGCCAAUCAGAAAGCUUUAUCAUACCAUCAUACCAUUGGCGGUGGCAGGUCUGCGCCGCCCAGAGGUUAGUAUGCACGUUCUGAGUCAAUUCCUCCAGUUCUGGGAACUCCAGCACAUAGGGUAUAAACGGGUUACGGACCUGACCUACUGCUCCCUCCCAGUGUUCCUGAAUUUAAUCAAGGGUCCCCGUACUCUCCUUCUGAACAGUAGUUUGAAGGGUGCAAAUCUUGUAGAUUCCUGUGGCUCCUCCCAAUAUGCAGAUUCGUGGCCAUGAAAGUCCGGAGCAUUUGUUUUAAUGUUCCAUUGAACCUUUCACAUAGGCCAUUUGUCUGGGGGUGGUUGGGAGAACUAAUAAUUGGCUUAAUGCCACACAGUCUCCAAAGCUGUUGGGUGACUUCUGCAGUAAACUGAGUGCCCUGAUCCGAGACUAUCUUCCUGGGAAAACCCAUGCGGGAGAAGACCUGUAUCAACGAGUAUUUUUGUCAGUGCCAUAGCCUCGGGGUAACGCGUUGCAUAGUCAACUAUUGUCAGGAUGUACUUUUUGCCGGACGGGCUGGGUUUUGCUAGGGGUCCUACAAUAUCUAUGCCUACCCAUCCGAACGGUUCCUCAUGAUGGGUAGGGGUUGUAAUUUGGCCUUGUGGCAAUCUUCUCGUUACUCUUCCCGUUGACAGGUGUCACACGUUUGACAGUACUGUUGGACAUCUUUGGACACGCCUGGCCAAAAGAAGGUGUGGGUGAGCCGGUAUCUAGUGUGGCUGACCCCUAAGUGGCCAGACAGGGGAAUAUUGUGGGCUAUCUGCAGUAACUCCUGUACUUCUGGGAGACUACUAAUUGUCGGGUGGGGGGCUGUAGGGACCCGGCCGAUACUCUCUAUGAGUGCCAGGAGUACCUCUCCCUCUGAUCUUGCCUAUAACUGGGUUACUUUACCCCUAUAGACCAGUAAUGUGGGAUCACUAAGGGUUUCCUGCCCAAAUUCUGCGGGGGUAUCCCAGGGGAGGAGGUUAACAGUUAGGGAAGGUGUUUCUACCUGGACAUGGUGGUAACUGGUUAAGUCUUGUUGAUGGCCUGGGUUGGUACAAAUGCUGAACUUAACUGGCCGAGAUCGUUCCCCAGCAAGACGUCAGUGGGGAGUUCCUGGAUCAGCCCCACAUCAGUUAACCCCAAUCCGGCACCCCAAUUCAGGUGUACUCUUGCAGUGGGUAGCCUGUGUAUCGUUCUCCCUGCUACCUGCACAGUUACGGCAUCUCCGGUGCGGUCGGCGUUUGACCAAUGUGAAGGCGGAGCUCGGAUCUCGCAGGUCUUGAGCUUGUUUGCCAUUCAGCUGUACUGGCUUGCGAUGAUGUCAGAAGCGGCCUGUACUCGUCAGUCUUGUGCAGGAUACCCCAGUGUUCUUCUAAUUCCUUAGCUCUGUGGUUGUAUGGGGCGGCUUCCGCGUGGAGGAGGUAGCCCUGGUCGGAUCUACGCGGCUUGGUUCCUGUUCUGAGUGCAGUCUCUCUGGGCCUGAAAGCUUACCAGCCAGAAUUUGCACCCAGUCUGCUGGGGGGACUUGGUAUAACCUGCAUUGCCACUCGAAAUCCUGCAGGAAGUUGUCGAUCUCUAUUUCCACAAACUUUUUAAAUGCAUCGUGGGGUACCUUUAGCUUUGUGCCCGUGUGGUAGUUGGCAAUCUCUCAGAGGUACGCUGUUCAGCCAGCCAAAGUUGGUUCUGCCGGUCUUCCCUUGCAAUGAUGAAGGCAUCCACUUGGGCUAACAUUGCCUGUACCAGUUCGAUUGAGGGGUUUACUUCCCCGUUGUAACGGCACCCCCAGGCAUAAAAGGGGUUCCAGAGACACAGGCACAGCUACUGCAGAACACCAAACUCCUGAACUGCAUACAAAGUAGCACUCCAAACUCCCGAACUGCAUACAAGGGAAUGCUUCAAACUCCCGAACUGCAUACAAAGUAGCACUCCAAACUCCCGAACUGGAACCUCACGAAUAGCUGCUAGCAGACGAACAGGAAAAGCACCCAAGCGGCUUACACUACUGGCAAUCAGUCUCUAACAGCAUACAGUAAAUCCCCCCAAAGAUGAGACAGAGCUCCGUGUUGAGGGUCAAGCAGUGGUCUGAUUUAUUCAGGGCUACCUGCCCAGUAUUUAUGCAGGUCUCCCACCUGGUGGACACUCCCCUAGGGGACCAGAUGGGAGACUAACACAGACAGACAUUGUGACGAGACCAAUCUCGCCACAUUGCAUUGGAGAAGCCUGGUUGCUCGCCUGCUGCCCUUGGACUAUGGCCCCCUUUUAAAAGACUUUAUUUUUGCCUGCAGAAAAGCUGUAUUCGUGCUUUUCUGCCUGGGGUUCGGUAGAUGUGUUUGAAUGUGUUAUACCCCAGAUAGGAAUCCCAUGGAGCCCAUUUGUAUGAAACUGACUGUAAAGACUUUGGCUCCAUGGCGAUUAAACUGUAUUCGUGUGGUCUGAGCGCCAUUCGCUUAAUAAUGUGCGCUCGGACCUGAGCUAUCUGGGGGAUAUGUUACAUGUCUGUGUUUUAUGUAAUAAAUGUGACUUUAUGUAUUUUAAAGUGUUUUGUGUCUUUUUGCAACCAUGUGCUUAAUGGAGUCUUGUGUCUAUCCUGGAGAUAAUUGAAUUACUUAUCUCCAGGAUAGAAGACUCUGAAACUGGUUUGGGCCAGAAAGCCAUGCUUCAUUUAGUCACAAAGGACUUUUUACUAACUUUUGAACCCCUUGUCUGAUUUGUGCCAUUUUUGAAUAUGUUGUUCCCCUGAAUGGAUUGAUUGUGAAUAUGUAAUUUUAUGUGAAUGUGAUGUAUGGUUUUAGAGUUAUGAAAGUUGGGUAGAAAGUAUGUUUUAACUGUAUGUAUAAUUGAGUUUCCUCUCAGGAUAAGGGGAGGGAAUAUGUGGGAUGUAACUGUGAUGUGAUUGGUUGUUUUAUACCUCCCUGUGGGCGGUCCUGUAUUUGCAAGACUGUAAUAAAAACCAGGCUGGGUGUGCCAGCACCUCAGACCACUGCUUGACCCUCAACACGGAGCCUUGUCUCGUUCUUGGGGGGAUUCACUGUAUGCUGUUAGGGACUGAUUGCCAGGAGUGUAAGCGGAUUGUCUGCUUUUCCUGUUCGUCUGCUAGCAGCUAUUUGGGAGGUUCCAGUUCGGGAGUUGGAGUGCUAUUUUGUAUCCAGUUCGUGAGUUUUGGUGUUCUGCAGUAGCUGUGCCUGGAUCUCUGGAAAGGGGGCCGAUCGCCUAAACGGUUUUACCCCUUGUGUGCAAAACGGUCCGUUACAAUUGGUGGCAAGCGGCGGGAUCGUUCCCACAGACUACAGGACAGCUACAGGAGACACCAUUCCGUGGAUUUACAAUUUGAGGGCAACGCAUGUCUGAGUACAGCGACCCUGACAGCAACAGCAUGGAACCAGCAGUGUCAUACGAGGAGGAGGACCUGGAUGGCCGGGAUGCAUUAAGGAAAGGCAUCUGGUACCAGGCCCUGGAUAAUGUACAGUACCAGCGGGGUGAGAGUCUCCCCAGUGAAGAGCAGCGGUUGCAGAAGCAAGUGGCCCUGCGGAUGCCCUUCCUGGCAGAGCAGCCCCUAGAUGAAUGGGUGAAGGAAUUGGAGCACCGGGUAUGGCAGGAGAUUUGGCUGGAAGAUGCAUACCAGGCGCUCUGGUGGUAUGGGGCACAGUACCUGCCCUGGACAGCCGAGCAUGACAAGCCAGUGGGAGAGGAGUUUGAUGGUCCUGGCUUGUUAUGGGAGGCUUUUUCAGAGCCUGAAUUUGGGAGCCCUACACAAGCCCGGUUCAGUGAUCUCUUGGAGUGGAGGGAGAGCAGGUAUGACUGGGGCGACACUCACGACAUUGAGCAAGACCUGGCUCACCUAGCAACCCUGGAGUGGGAACUGGAGCAGGACUACCGAGAUCUCUUCCACUCCAUUGAGAAGAUUCAGCAGGACAGCAAGGUGACAGAUCCAGUUCCAGACCCAUUCAGCUGGGAAGACAUUGUGGAUAUUUUCUGGGAAGAACCCCAGGUGGCCGGUAGAGAUGGGACCGAGGUCUCUCCACCGGUCCUGCAGGGAAUUGGGAGCACAGUCUCCAUUCCCCAGCGGCCGUGUGAUUUAUUGGGAAUUGGGAGCCCAGUCUCCAUUCCCCAGCGGCAGUGUAAAGUGCAGGGAGAGGAGAGCAGCGUCCUCCCUCCCCAGCGGCAGGUUGAGUUACAGGGGGCAGAGGUAGUUGUUCCUGCCCCCCAGCAGCCAAGUGAUAUGCCGGGAAGGCAGUGUGAAGUCCAGGGAGAGGAGGGCAGUGUCCUCCCUCCCCAGCGGCAGCGUGAUUUUUUGGGAAUUGGGAGCCCAGUCUCCAUUCCCCAGCGGCAGUAUGAUGUUUUGGGAAUUGGGAGCCCAGUCUCCAUUCCCCAGCGGCAGUAUGAUGUUUUGGGAAUUGGGAGCCCAGUCUCCAUUCCCCAGCGGCAGCACAGAUUAUUGGGAAUUGGGAGCCCUGUCUCCAUUCCCCAGCGGCAGAGUGUCCUACCGGGAAUAGAGAGCCCAGUCUCCUUUCCCCAGCAGCAGGACUCUGUAUUGGGUCUCACUCCCCCGCAGCUGGAAGUAUGUAUGGGAGAGGAGCCUGUUAUCCCCUCUCCCCAGCGGCAGCUUAAUGUACCAGGGGGAGACAGUAAGCCCCACAACUGUGCAGAUGGGACCGUAGUCUCUACACUGCCAGCACAGGGGGUAGGGACGGUCGGUCCUGCCCCCAGCGACAGGGCUGUUUAGCCAAAGGGGAGACAGUCGGUCUCCCCCUCCAGCAGCAGAGAUGGGUAACCAAAGGGGAGACGGUCGGUCUCCAGCAGCAGGACUGUGCAUCUAAAGGGGAGACAGUCAGUCUCCAACAGCAGCAGCAGAGCGGUGUAUUUAAAGGGGAGACAGUCGGUGUAUUUAAAGGGGAGACAGUCGGUCUCCCCCUCCAACAACCAGGCUUCCACCAGGCUACCCUCCCAGUAGCGCUGGCAACAGGGCAGAGUGCCGCUGGUCUCUGCCCAUGCAGCAACCCACCAAGUCAGCGUACCCGUACCCAGCCCAGCCGUGGUGAGGCACCUGGACAUGGACAAGCUUCUCCUUUACCCAGGUGUAGUAACCAUUUAUUGUGGGUGGGCUGUGCUGUUGAUUAUUUGUUGUGGGUAGGCUGCUGGACUAACAAGGGCACUGACCGGCAGGAGGUCAGAUACCCUGUUAGUCUGUUUGGAAAAGGGGAGAGAUGUGACGAGACCAAUCUCGCCACAUUGCAUUGGAGAAGCCUGGUUGCUCGCCUGCUGCCCUUGGACUAUGGCCCCCUUUUAAAAGACUUUAUUUUUGCCUGCAGAAAAGCUGUAUUCGUGCUUUUCUGCCUGGGGUUCAGUAGAUUUGUUUGAAUGUGUUAUACCCCAGAUAGGAAUCCCAUGGAGCCCAUUUGUAUGAAACUGACUGUAAAGACUUUGGCUCCAUGGUGAUUAAACUGUAUUUGUGUGGUCCGAGCGCCAUUCACUUAAUAAUGUGCGCUCGGACCUGAGCUAUCUGGGGAUAUGUUACAUGUCUGUGUUUUAUGUAAUAAAUGUGACUUUAUGUAUUUUAAAGUGUUUUGUGUCUUUUUGCAGCCAUGUGCUUAAUGGAGUCUUGUGUCUGUCCUGGGAGAUAAUUGAAUUACUUAUCUCCAGGAUAGAAGACUCUGAAACUAGUUUGGGCCAGAAAGCCAUGCUUCAUUUAGUCACAAAGGACUUUUUACUAACUUUUGAACCCCUUGUCUGAUUUGUGCCAUUUUUUAAUAUGUUGUUCCCCUGAAUGGAUUGAUUGUGAAUGUGUAAUUUAAUGUGAAUGUGAUGUAUGGUUUUAGAGUUAUGAAAGUUGGGUAGAAGUAUGUUUUAACUGUAUGUAUAAUUGAGUUUCCUCUCAGGAUAAGGGGAGGGAAUAUGUGGGAUGUAACUGUGGUGUGAUUGGUUGUUUUAUACCUCCCUGUGGGCGGUCCUGUAUUUGCAAGACUGUAAUAAAAACCAGGCUGGGUGUGCCAGCACCUCAGACCACUGCUUGACCCUCAACACAGAGCCUUGUCUCGUUCUUGGGGGGAUUCACUGUAUGCUGUUAGAGACUGAUUGCCAGAAGUGUAAGCGGAUUGUCUGCUUUUCCUGUUCGUCUGCUAGCAGCUAUUUGGGAGGUUCCAGUUCGGGAGUUGGAGUGCUAUUUUGUAUCCAGUUCGUGAGUUUUGGUGUUUUGCAGUAGCUGUGCCUGUAUCUCUGGAAAGGGGGCCGAUCGCCUAAACGGUUUUUACCCCUUGUGUGCAAAACGGUCCGUUACAGACAUGUAUCACAUUCAGACACACAGAAGUAAAAUAUCCCCACGAUGCAUCCUAAUUUCCCUCCCGCUGUCCUGGAGAUAAUUGGGAAGUAAUCCAAUUAUCUCCCAGGACAGAGGCAAAUCGCCAUUAUACACGUGGGGACACAAAGACAGUAAAAUACUUUAAAACAUAUAAUAUUACAUUUAUUACACAAAAUCCAUGCAUGUCACAUAUCCCCAGAUAGCUUAGAUCUGAGCGCACAUAACUACCGAAUAGCGCUCAGAUCCUAUACACACAGUUCACUUGCCAUGGAGCCAAGUUCUUUAAUUACAUGAAUAGGCUCCAUGGCUGUGCUAUCUGGGUUAAAACAUUCACAUAAAACAAAGUCCUGAAUGAUCAGGUGUUCGGUUAAAUAGCCAUGAACAGAAGCAGGGGAGGCUGGAGGCUCAGUGGUGUUUGCACGUAAAAGUGUCCGUUUUUAGUGCACUGAAUCCGGUGGCUGUCCAGGGAGCUCCAUAAUACCGCCACCGAGCGGCUGCUAAGUGUAACCACAGCCACCCAGUAACAGUCAAUUAAGCUGCGGUUAACCGCAACUACUGGGGGGUAGAUUGGCGGCGCACACCAGCUUCUGGGUGGCCAAUUAACAGCGCCUGCCGGCUCCCCACAGCUAUGGGGAGGCUAAUAGAUGGCUGUUUGUUCGGUAGAUCGAAUUUACCGAAUGGCUGUGCAGAAAGGUAGGAAUAAACCUUUCUGCACAGUAAAAUUAAGUGUUUAACUGCCGGUCCAUAAUCCAACGGCAGCAGGCAGGCAACCAGGCUCCUCCAAUGCAAUGUGGCGAGAUUGGUCUCGUCACAUCUCUCCCCUUUUCCAAACAGACUUACAGGGUAUCUGACCUCCUGCCAGUCAGUGCCCUGGUUAGUCCAGCAGCCCACCCACAAGACAGAAACAGCAGUACAGCCCACCCACAAUAAAUGGCUACUACUCCUCGGUAGAGGAGAAACUUGUCCAUGUGCCUCACCACGGCUGUGCGGGGUACUGGUAGGCUGCCUUGGUGGUUGCUGAGUGGGCAGAGACCAACGGUACUCUGUCCUGGUGCCAGCGCUACCACAGAAGUAGCCUGGUUGGAGCCUGGUUGUUGGAGGGGGAGACCAACUGUCUCCCCUUUGGACACACAGCUCUGCUGCUGGAGGGGGAGAGCGACUGUCUCCCCUUUGGCUAAACAGCCCUGCUGCUGAAGGGGGAGACCGACUGUCCCUACCCCCUGUGCUGUAAGUGUAGAGACUGCGGUCCCAUCUGCAUGGUCGUGGGGCUUACUGUCUCCCCCUGAUGCGUUAAGCUGCCACUGGGGAUAGGGGGUAACAAGCACCUCUCCCAUACAUACUCCCAGCCGCUGGGGAGGGAAACCGACUGUCUCUGCUCCCAAUACAGUGACCUGCUGCUGGGGAAAGGAGACUGAGCUCUCUAUCCCCUGCUGGACACUCUGCCCUUGGGGAAGGAGGACACCUCUCCCAGUAAGUCACUCUGCUGCUGGGGAACAGGACCGACUGUCCCCCGCUGGGGGAUGGAGACUGGGCUCCCAAUAAAUCACUCUGCCGCUGGGGGACAGGACCGAUUGUCUCUGCCCCCUGUAACUCAGCCUGCCGCUGGGGAAUGGAGACUGGGCUCCCAAUUCCCUGCAGGAGCGGUGGAGAGACCUUGGUCCCAUCUCCACGGGCCACCUGGUGUCCUUCCCAGUAAAUCUCCACAAUAUCUUCCCAGCUGAAUGGGUCUGGAUCUGGGUCUGUCACCUUGCUGUCCUGCUGAGCCUUCCCAAUGGAGUGGAAGCGAUCUUGGUAGUCCUGCUCCAGUUCCCACUCCAGGGUUGCUAGGUGAGCCAGGUCUUGCUCUACCUCAUGGGGGUCAUCCCCGUCAUGCCUAGCCUCCCUCUCGUAGAAAAUGUCCUGAAGUCUGGUCUGCGCAGGGCUCCCGAAGUCAGGCUCUGCAAAGGACUCCCAUAACAAGCCAGGGCCAUCAAACUCCUCUCCCUCUGGCUUGUCAUGCUUGGCUGUCCAGUGUAUAUACUGUGCCAUAUACCACCAGAGCGCCUGGUAGGCAUCCUCCAGCCCUAGCUCCUGCCAUACCCGGUGCUCUAGUUCCUUCACCCAUUCCUCAAGGGGCUGCUCUCCCAGGAAGGGCAUCCGCAGAGCCACUUGCUUCUGCAACCGUUGCUCUUCACUGGAAAGACCCAGCUGGUAUUGUACAUUAUCCAGGGCCUAUUACCAGAUGCCUUUCCUUAAUGCAUCCCGGCCAUCCAGGUCCUACUCCUUGUAUAACACUGCUGGUUCCAUUCUGUUGCUUUUAGGGUCGCUGUACUGGGACAUGUGUUGCCCCCAAUUUGUAAAUCCACGGAAUGAUGUCUCCUGUAGCUGUCCUUCUGGCUGUAGGAACGAUCCCACCACUGCCACCAAUUGUAACGGCACCCCCAGGCAUAAAAGGGGUUAAAAGCCUGUGGCGAAACCAACCUCGCCACUGUCCACUGGAGGAGCCUGGUUGCUCGCCUGCUCCCUUUAGACUAUGGCCCGGCAGUUAAAACCUUUUAUUUUCCCUGCAGAAAAGCGUCAUCGUGCCUUUCUGCAGACUGUUAAAGCCAUGCUACCCCAGAUAGCUAUGCGAUGGAGCCCAGCCGUAUACUGAAAGACUAUAUGAAAGACUUUGGCUCCAUUGCGAUUGAACUGUAUGUAUGUGAUCUGAACGCCAUACGGUAAUAAUGUGCGCUCAGAUCUAAGCUAUCUGGGGAUAGGUAGAAUGUGUAUGGUCUAUGUGAUAAAUGUAACAGUAUGUAAUUUUAUGUCUUUUAUUGUCCAAUGUCUGCCAUGUGGCUAAUGGAGUUUUGCCGCUGUCCUUGGAGAAAAUUGGAUUACUUCCCAAUUACCUCCAGGACAGAGAGGAGGGAUUGUGAUGCAUUGUGGGAGUGUUUAAAGGUGUAUGUCUGUGAUUGGUCAAUGUCCAAUAUGUUUCCCAGUUUCCCAUCUGGUCCCCUAGGGGAGUGUCCACCAUGUGGGAGACCUGCAUAAAAGCCGGGCAGGUAGCCCAAGUAAAUCAGUUCUGCUUGACCUCAAAAUGAAGUGUCGUCUCGUUAUUGGGGGAAUAGGAUUGUAUGCUGACUGCCAGGAGUGUAAGCUGAUUGUAUGCUUUCCUGCUCAGCUGCUUACAGCAUUCAAAUGCUUGAUAGCAUUCGUAUGCUUCUCCGGUUCGGUGGUUGUGGUGUCUGCUGCAGUGCUUGGAGUCCUCAGGAAGCGCUAGGACAUCCUUCAAUGGAGGUGCCCAGUCGGGGGGUGCCAGGUAAUCCGUUACAAAGCCGUUUAGUAGAUCUUCCCUUCCAGAGACAUAGGCACAGCUACUGCAGAACCCCAAACUCACAAACUGAAUACAAGGGAAUGCUCCAAACUCCUGAAUUGCAUACAAAGUAGCACUCCAAACUCCCGAACUGGAACCUCACGAAUAGCUGCUAGCAGACGAACAGGAAAAGCACCCAAGUUUGGAGGAAUAUAACACGACUGACCUCUGUUUAUUUCGUCACACAAGGUUUUACAUGAACAGACACAACACAAACAACAGGGGUUCCCAUCCCAAGAAGCUGAUGGUGGAUGGAAGAGGGACAACAAACAACAGGGGUUCCCAUCCCAAGAUUCCUCUCUUGCAACUGUCAGUAGUCUAAUACUAUCCUUACCUUCUGUGUCACUAUACCCCACUCCCUCUAACAUAUAAGCUCACUGAGCAGGGCCCUCAAUCCCUCUGUUACUGUGUCGCUGUGAUGAAGUGCCCUUCGCCACUUGUCCCUGGAGGGGACUGCUGGCUAGCCUCAUGCCUUCCAACUGUGGCCCCUGUGCUGAUAGCUAUAUUUUACCCUGCAGAAAGAUUUAUUUGUGUAUUUCUGCCGGGGCGUUCGGGACUUUCAGUAUGUGAGUAGUGCUACCCCAGAUAGCUAUGCCAUGGAGCCUAUUCGUGUAACAAAAGACUAUGGAAAAGACUUGGAGAGGUUUGGAGAGCUUAACAACCAGGGGUAUCUGGUUGUUAAAAGAAGAGACCACAUGGACCACACAUAUUAUUAUUAUGAUAUUUAUAGAGCGCCAUCAAAUUCUGCAGCGCUUUACAAUGGGUGGACGAACAGACAUGUAGUUGUAACCAGACAAGUUGGACACACAGGAACAGAGGGGUUGAGGGCCCUGCUCAAUGAGCUUACAUGCUAGAGGGAGUGGGGUAAAAUUACACAAAAAAGGUAAGGAUAGUAUUAGACUAAUGACAGUUGCAGAAGAGGAAUCAGUCUCCUGUAGCUGUCCUUCUGGCUGUAGUAGAGAUGUCCCGAACUGUUCGCCAAACGGUUCGCCACGAACGGUUCGCCACGGACUCAUCAUUGAGUAAACUUUGACCCUGUAUCUCACAGUCAGCAGACACAUUCCAGGCAAUCAGCAGCAGACCCUCCCUCCCAGACCCUCCCACCUCCUGGACAGCUCACUAAGAACGCAGCUUCACAAUGGAUGCUUUCCAGGAAGUGGGAGGAUCUGGGAGGGAGGGUCUGCUGCUGAUUGGCUGGAAUGUGUCUUCUGGCUGAGGUACAGGGUCAAAGUUUACUCAAUGAUGAGUCUGUGGCGAACCGUUCGGGACAUCACUAGUCAGGAGCUAUUAACAGUUUAAUGGAUACGCUUUUAUGAAGAAGUGGGUUUUUAACGAUUUUUUGAAGGAGUGGAGACUGGGUGAGCAUCUAACGGAGGAGGGAAGCGAGUUCCACAGGAACGGUGCAGCCCUCGAGAAAUCUUGAAGGCGAGCAUCAGAGGUGGGAGUACGGACAGAAGAUAGACGUAAGUCUUCAGCAGAUCGUAAGGGCAUACUUGUGUAUAAAGGAGGAUAGAUAGGUGGGAGCAGCAUUAUGUAGAGAUUUGAAAGCAAGAACCAAAAUUUUAAGUUGAACUCUAUAUUUUAUAGGAAGCCAAUGUAGGGAUUGACAGAAGGAGGAGGUGCGUGCGGACAGGAAGAUGAGCCUUGCCGCCGCAUUCAUUAUGGACUGUAAUGGCGCUAGUUGGGAGCACGUAAGACCACUGAGAAGUGGAUUACAGUAGUCAAGGCGAGAAAGGACAGUGGAAUUGAUGAACACCUUAGUCGCAUCUGGCGUUAAGUAGGGGCAGAUGCGCGCAAUGUUUUUGAGAUGGAAAUGACAGGAUUUGGCGAUAGAUUGAACAUGAGGCUUGAAGGAGAGGUCGGAGUCAAAGAGAACACCUAGGCAGCGAGCCUGCGUGGUGUUGCUGAUGGUAACACCGUUGACAAAUGAGGGUACAGUAGAAGGACAGACAGCCGAACGAAGGUAGGAAAAAGUAUAUAACAGCGUCCAUUCCACUACGUAUACGAUUUCCUAUUAUUCCAGAGUAUUCCAGAAUCAGUAACAGUGAACAGUAAUGGGGGUAUCAUUACACAGAGAGUAAAUUACAUUGUAUCCAAUGGGGUAAAUUACAUUGUAUCUAAUGGGGUAAAUUACAUUGUAUCUAAUGGGGUAUCAUUACACAGAGUGUAAAUUACAUUCUAUCCAAUGGGGUAUCAUUACACAGAGGGUAAAUUACAUUGUAUCCAAUGGGGUAUCAUUACGCAGGGGGUAAGUUACAUUGUAUCCAAUGGGGUAUCAUUACGCAGAGGGUAAAUUGCAUUGUAUCCACUGGGGUAUCAUUACGCAGGGGGUAAGUUACAUUGUAUCCAAUGGGGUAUCAUUACGCAGAGGGUAAGUUACAUUGUAUCCAAUGGGGUAUCAUUACGCAGAGGGUAAAUUACAUUGUAUCCAAUGGGGUAUCAUUACGCAGGGGGUAAGUUACAUUGUAUCCAAUGGGGUAUCAUUACGCAGGGGGUAAGUUACAUUGUAUCCAAUGGGGUAUCAUUACGCAGAGGGUAAGUUACAUUGUAUCCAAUGGGGUAUCAUUACGCAGGGGGUAAGUUACAUUGUAUCCAAUGGGGUAUCAUUACGCAGAGGGUAAGUUACAUUGUAUCCAAUGGGGUAUCAUUACGCAGAGGGUAAGUUACAUUGUAUCCAAUGGGGUAUCAUUACGCAGAGGGUAAGUUACAUUGUAUCCAAUGGGGUAUCAUUACGCAGAGGGUAAGUUACAUUGUAUCCAAUGGGGUAUCAUUACGCAGAGGGUAAAUUACAUUGUAUCCAAUGGGGUAUCAUUACGCAGAGGGUAAAUUACAUUGUAUCCAAUGGGGUAUCAUUACGCAGAGGGUAAGUUACAUUGUAUCCAAUGGGGUAUCAUUACGCAGAGGGUAAGUUACAUUGUAUCCAAUGGGGUAUCAUUACGCAGAGGGUAAGUUACAUUGUAUCCAAUGGGGUAUCAUUACGCAGAGGGUAAGUUACAUUGUAUCCAAUGGGGUAUCAUUACGCAGAGGGUAAAUUACAUUGUAUCCAAUGGGGUAUCAUUACGCAGAGGGUAAAUUACAUUGUAUCCAAUGGGGUAUCAUUACGCAGAGGGUAAAUUACAUUGUAUCCAAUGGGGUAUCAUUACACAGAGGGUAAGUUACAUUGUAUCCAAUGGGGUAUCAUUACGCAGAGGGUAAGUUACAUUGUAUCCAAUGGGGUAUCAUUACGCAGAGGGUAAGUUACAUUGUAUCCAAUGGGGUAUCAUUACGCAGGGGGUAAGUUACAUUGUAUCCAAUGGGGUAUCAUUACGCAGGGGGUAAGUUACAUUGUAUCCAAUGGGGUAUCAUUACGCAGGGGGUAAGUUACAUUGUAUCCAAUGGGGUAUCAUUACGCAUAGGGUAAGUUACAUUGUAUCCAAUGGGGUAUCAUUACGCAGAGGGUAAAUUACAUUGUAUCCACUGGGGUAUCAUUACGCAGGGGGUAAGUUACAUUGUAUCCAAUGGGGUAUCAUUACGCAGGGGGUAAGUUACAUUGUAUCCAAUGGGGUAUCAUUACGCAGAGGGUAAGUUACAUUGUAUCCAAUGGGGUAUCAUUACGCAUUGUAUCCAAUGGGGUAUCAUUACACAGAGGGUAAAUUACAUUGUAUCCAAUGGGGUAUCAUUACGCAGGGGGUAAGGGGUUUACAUUGUAUCCAAUGGGGUAUCAUUACACAGAGGGUAAAUUAUUGUAUCCAUGGGGUAUCAUUACGCAGGGGGUAAAUUACAUUGUAUCAAUGGGGUAUCAUUACACAGGGGGUAAGUUACAUUGUAUCCAAUGGGGUAUCAUUACACAGAGGGUAAAUUACAUUGUAUCCAAUGGGGUAUCAUUACGCAGGGGGUAAAUUACAUUGUAUCCAAUGGGGUAUCAUUACGCAGAGGGUAAAUUACAUUGUAUCCAAUGGGGUAUCAUUACGCAGAGGGUAAGUUACAUUGUAUCCAAUGGGGUAUCAUUACGCAGAGGGUAAAUUACAUUGUAUCCAAUGGGGUAUCAUUACGCAGAGGGUAAAUUACAUUGUAUCCAAUGGGGUAUCAUUACGCAGAGGGUAAGUUACAUUGUAUCCAAUGGGGUAUCAUUACGCAGGGGGUAAGUUACAUUGUAUCCAAUGGGGUAUCAUUACGCAGAGGGUAAGUUACAUUGUAUCCAAUGGGGUAUCAUUACGCAGAGGGUAAGUUACAUUGUAUCCAAUGGGGUAUCAUUACGCAGAGGGUAAAUUACAUUGUAUCCAAUGGGGUAUCAUUACGCAGAGGGUAAAUUACAUUGUAUCCAAUGGGGUAUCAUUACGCAGAGGGUAAAUUACAUUGUAUCCAAUGGGGUAUCAUUACGCAGAGGGUAAAUUACAUUGUAUCCAAUGGGGUAUCAUUACGCAGAGGGUAAAUUACAUUGUAUCCAAUGGGGUAUCAUUACGCAGAGGGUAAAUUACAUUGUAUCCAAUGGGGUAUCAUUACGCAGAGGGUAAAUUACAUUGUAUCCAAUGGGGUAUCAUUACGCAGAGGGUAAGUUACAUUGUAUCCAAUGGGGUAUCAUUACGCAGAGGGUAAGUUACAUUGUAUCCAAUGGGGUAUCAUUACGCAGAGGGUAAAUUACAUUGUAUCCAAUGGGGUAUCAUUACACAGGGGGUAAGCGAAUAAGCAUACAUUGCACAUUGUAUAUAUUUUAAUAUAAGAUCUGCAAACAUUAUUAAUAUCAUUUUAAUUAAUAUUUUUUUACUUUACAAUCCAUGUAAAAAGUCCAGUUUGGAGGUCUAUAUGAAAACUCCAACAUGGGUGCCACCCGCUCUGCUCAUGGGGGCCCAAAAACUCCCCUUUAGUACAGUUUAGCCCGUCGUUCUGCCUUGUCUUACCCUGUUCUUCUCUACUCCCCCACGAUUUGCUGUAUUGAAUUGGAAUAGGAUUUAGUUUGCUUAGAACCAUUUCUGGUAAAUUGGUAAAUUAGAUCUUACAAUUCACGAAUUGAAGUUCGCAAACUGUUUAAAAAAUCAUUGGGGUUUCAAUUGGUAAGACGUCAAUUAAGUCCUGGUCCCUGGAUACUGCUAGUAUUCCUGGUCUGGGCUGACAAGAUUUAUUCGUACAGGUCUGGGAGGGGUAAUAGGAUUUGGGUGGUUGUAAUUUGUGCUAUUUUUGGCUUCUCAUUGUUCUGAAUUGAAGUAGAUUAUGAGCGUAUUCCAUCAUAUUGUUUCAGGCGUCAUGGGUGGGGGUGGGCAGGAGGUGUGGAAAUUGAUAAUGGUGAUGAUUGUUUUUCCAGAAUCGAUUGUCCAUGUUUGCCAAGAUUUGACUUUAUAAUUAGUACCUGAAGCUUGUUAGGAGCUUAAUAUCCAACAUACACACGAUUAGUAUAAUAGUGUAUGUUUAUUGAGAUCACACAAAGCAAAUAUACAGUGUGUAUGAGGGUAUCACAGAGCUCCACAGCAAUAAAACUCCCAAUAAUAUGCAGUGUCUAUGAGGAUAUAACAGAGCUCCACAGCAAUGAAACUCCCAGUAAUGUGCUGUGUGUAUGAGUGUAUCACAGAACUACACAGCAAUAAAACUCACAGUAAUGUGCAGUGUGAGUGUAUCACAUAGCUCAACAGUAAUAAAACUCACAGUAACGUGCAGGUGUGUAUGAGUGUAUGACAGAGCUCCAUUGCAUUACAACUCACAGUAAUGUGCAGUGUAUGCAUGUAUUAUUAUAAUUAUUAUUUUAUUAUUUAUAUAGCGCCAUCAGAUUCCGUAGCGCUGUACAAUGGGUGGACUAACAUACAUGUAAUUGUAACCAGCCAAUUGGACGUACAGGAACAGGUGAGGGCCUGCUCAGUGAGUUUACAUGUUAGAGGGAGUGGGUAUAGUGACACAGUACCAGAGGGAUUGAGGGCCUGCUCAGUGAGUUUACAUCUGACUAAAAAAGAACUUACCUAAGCAGGUCCUGUGGUCUCCAGCUUGUGAAGCCGCAUUUCAGGCAUUGAAGCAAGCUCUGGUGAAUGCCCCUGUCCUGGCUGCCUCAGUCCCUAACAAACGCUUUCUCGUUCAUACAGAUGCUUCCAUGUAUUGACUGGGGGCUGUGCUGAGCCAGGUCGGGGAAGAUGGAGGAGAGCACCCUGUGACAUAUCUCAGCAGAAAGCUGAGUCUCAGGAGACAAUAGACUGCUACGGUGGAGCUUAGCGUUACAACCUCACAACUUCACCAUCAGCUACCGACCCGGUAUGCAGAACGGGAAUGCGGAUGGAUUGUCCCGGCAGACCGACGUCCCUAUUACCUCCUCGUCCGGUCAUCCCCAAGUUGACCCGCCACAUGGUCAAGCCGGGUCUGCCGGAGUGUCCCACAAGGGGG